AUCUCCGAUGUUAAGCAAAAUUGAGCCUGGUCAGUACUUACAUGGGCGACCGCUUGGGAAUACCAAGUGCUGUAA